rnacentral:rRNA from 1 species
CCUACGGGAGGCAGCAGUGAGGAAUAUUGGUCAAUGGACGAGAGUCUGAACCAGCCAAGUAGCGUGAAGGAUGACUGCCCUAUGGGUUGUAAACUUCUUUUAUCAAGGAAUAAAACGAGGCACGUGUGCCUUUUUGCAUGUACUUUAUGAAUAAGGAUCGGCUAACUCCGUGCCAGCAGCCGCGGUAAUACGGAGGAUCCGAGCGUUAUCCGGAUUUAUUGGGUUUAAAGGGAGCGUAGAUGGGUUGUUAAGUCAGUUGUGAAAGUUUGCGGCUCAACCGUAAAAGUGCAAUUGAUACUGGCAGUCUUGAGUGCAGUUAAGGUAGGCGGAAUGCGGGGUGUAGCGGUGAAAUGCUGAGAUAUCGCGGAGAACCGAUUGCGAAGGCAGCAUACUAAACUGUGACUGACGUUGAUGCUCGAAAGUGUGGGUAUCGAACAGGAUUAGAUACCCGGGUAGUC